UACGAAGGGGGCUAGCGUUGCUCGGAAUCACUGGGCGGAAAGGGUGCGUAGGCGGGUCUUUAAGUCAGGGGUGAAAUCCUGGAGCUCAACUCCAGAACUGCCUUUGAUACUGGCGAUCUCGAGUCCGGGAGAGGUGAGUGGAACUGCGAGUGUAGAGGUGAAAUUCGUAGAUAUUCGCAAGAACACCAGUGGCGAAGGCGGCUCACUGGCCCGGUACUGACGCUGAGGUGCGAAAGCGUGGGGAGCAAACAGG
rnacentral:rRNA from 1 species